GGCGCAUUAGCACUGAGGCAACUCUGAAGUCCUCUCCGGAUUUUACGCUUAGUUGUCAUACUUCAGGGUCUGUUUUGGUCUCCACAAGUGGGAGGCAGUAUACGUGACAGGGCUGCAGGAAUAUUGCAGGUAUCCCUUCCCAAAGCGGAAACUGGACUUUGAGGUGUGAUCAAAAAGCAAUCGGACGAGAAAGCCAUCCUAGUAGAGAGAAAUAAUGAACCAUUUUUGUUGGGGUCUGUACCUAGAUCCCCAAUUCUCCAAAUGGGUGCAUGGUGAAAGCUCAAAGGAAUGAGACACGCGGCAUGAUCUCCAGGGCUGCAGGAGGAGUGAAAUCCUCGGCAGAGCUUGUCGUAACCCUGCUAGCCAGCAGCCCACUGACACUAGGCAGCCCGUAUUUAAUCCGAACAAGCAAGGAGUUGAGUGGAAAAUGCAGGAAACCUGAACAGGGUCUUGGGUGGGGUUCAAGGACCCUCAGAGCAACAGAUGAUGCUAAUUUAGGAAAACUAUCCAGAAAGGCUCCAGGUAGCCUCAGCUGUGGCCUGUCUUGUCCCCUGAGCUGUCUCUUCAUUCUCAAUUGAGUCAUGCCAGGGCCACGCCACAGCCCUACACGUGUACUCAGCCUCAACAUUCUCCAGCACAUCCCCUCCCCAGUGGCUCUUGUCCCUGAGCCAUGACAGCUGAAAUGGAGGCCAGGGCCAAACAAAAGAACCCAAGACUGACGCAGGCGGUUAGCAACAGGCUGGCUCUUUCCCCUCCCUAGUCAGGGUUCCCCAGGGCUCCCCUGUGGGGAUGAAAGUCUGACCGGCGCAGCCCCAAUGAAACAGGAGACAGGAGACGCUCUUGUGGACGACAGUUAACUGCUAGUUUAUUUACGCGGGCUCUGGUUUAUAUAUUUGGCCGUGACCAAUCACAGGCUGCCACGAGGAAGCAGGGCGGGAAUGGGAUGCAGGCUCUGGCUACUAUAUCCAGCUGUGGCCAAUCAGGAGUUGCCACAGAGUACGGAGUAGAGCGCGGGGUGCGCACGGGUUGGCUAAUUUAAAGAGGGACAUAGCGCAUUGCGGAAGCUGGCGUGGUCCUUAGUCCCGGCUGGGGUAUGGUAUGUUGAGCGCCUGCGCCCAACAAAGGUCCAGCCAGAGGGAGAGGGCCAAGAAUCCCUUGAGCCUUUGUCUUGCGGGACCUGCCGCCAUAGCAAGUGGGCUUAGCAUCAAACUGUGCUUGGAGCCCCAGAAAUCGGACUCAGAGCCGCAACCAAGGCAGCCGCUUUCUCUUGGAGUGUUUUCUCUUCCCAAUCUCGAUCAUAAAAUACCAAGGUGCAGCUCUCACCAGAGCAUCAGGAGGCCUUGGUAAAGUCUACAAUCUGAGGAGGCAAAGGGCUCUCAUCUUUUUCCUAGUGAAUACCUGACAAUUUAAAUCAGGGCCAUCCCUGCCUGACAGCAGUUAAAGUCCAUCUAACUUGGUGUCCGUGAUGCCGCAGGGGGCCCAGUAGCUGUUUCUACUUCCUGCCCUGGCUCUGCCACCCCAGGGAUCCCGCCUUCCCGGUCCAUCCUCCUGCUCCCCACCAGGCCGUCCAUAGUAUCGUGCGUGUGUCAUUAAUCACACGCGUCACUGCUGGGCACCCCUGGUGCCAGGUGGCUCCAGGGGCUUCCAGACUUCAGCGAGCCAACUCCUUGGUUGGCCUCCGGGAGGAGCCUGUGCCUCUGCCUUUCUGCCACGCCCCCAGGUAAGACCAGCCUGUCACUUGGGGGCCCACAACUGAGAAAUGAAGCUGUAGCCACAGAGAGGCCUCUCAGGUAUCACUGCAGGGGUGGAGAGAGCAAGUGCCGAGGAGCUCCUGCAUAGGAAGGUGAACCCCCACUCCCCAUCAUGGGGUUCAUACCAGGUCCCCUUGGUUUGAGAAGCAUCACCUGCCCUAGGAAGGCCACUCCACAUGGCCUAGGGAUCUUUGUGACCUCCCUCAUCUCCUCCCCUAACCCCUAUGUAGGGGACUGCUCGCAGAUCUGUGGGGUAUCCAGGGCCCCCUCAGAGGAGGGCUCAUUCCAGAGCUGUCUACCCACUGGGGCUUAGCACUGAGGAACCUCCCACCCCCACCGCAUCUGGGUGCUGACCACAGCGGAGCCCUCUGCAGAGAGGCCUUAGCCUGUGACCAUUCCCUCUGCAGACCUCAGUUUCCCCAUCUGUGAUGUGCAGGCGAACCAGAACUCUCUAAGGCACCUGACCCUGUACUCACUGAUUCUGUUCAGGCUCAGAGCAGGGGAGGGGGAGGCCGGGCAGAGGGUUGCCAGCCUCCCUGAGGACACACACACCUGCCU